UGGGGAAUAUUGGACAAUGGGCGAAAGCCUGAUCCAGCCAUGCCGCGUGUGUGAAGAAGGUCUUCGGAUUGUAAAGCACUUUAAGUUGGGAGGAAGGGCAGUUACCUAAUACGUAUCUGUUUUGACGUUACCGACAGAAUAAGCACCGGCUAACUCUGUGCCAGCAGCCGCGGUAAUACAGAGGGUGCAAGCGUUAAUCGGAAUUACUGGGCGUAAAGCGCGCGUAGGUGGUUUGUUAAGUUGGAUGUGAAAUCCCCGGGCUCAACCUGGGAACUGCAUUCAAAACUGACAAGCUAGAGUAUGGUAGAGGGUGGUGGAAUUUCCGGUGUAGCGGUGAAAUGCGUAGAUAUCAAGAGGAACACCUGAGGUGAAGACGGGUUGCUGGGCUGACACUGACGCUGAGGCGCGAAAGCCAGGGGAGCAAACGGGAUUAGAUACCCAAGUAGUCCCUGAGCGGGCUGGCAAGGCGCAU
rnacentral:rRNA from 1 species